AUGGCGGCCGCCAACGCAUUCACCAGCGCAUCCAUGUCCUGCGGUGCGAGCCUGAGCGGGUCUGUCAAUGUGAUCGCCGUGUGCCCACGCUCCGUGGCUGCCGCGAGGACGUUGUCUUCGUCGUGCUUGCGUCCUGCGCGGUGCGCCGCCGUCAGGACAGCAGCGCCCGUAGCGGCAACGGCGGAGGGUGACGAGAGGCGGUUCGAGCAGCUGGCGGUGCCGCCGGAGCUGGUGGAUGAGCUCGUGGAGGAGGCGCUCGUGUGGUGCUCGCAGCACGGCCUCGUCGUCGGCGACAAGAACCACCCGAGAUCAGGAAAGGCACCUGGUGUUGGUCUGCUCCAUGCUCCGUUUGCUCUCUUGCCGAUGUCAUUCCCAAAGGUUUACUGGGAGCAAGCGCUAGAGUUGGCUCCACUUUUCAAUGAGCUCGUUCACCGUGUCAGCCUGGAUGGAGACUUCUUGCAGCAGACUUUGGCAAGGACAAAAGAAGUGGAUCCAUUCACUAGGAGGCUUCUAGAUAUUCACUCAAAGAUGAUGGAACUGAACAAGAAAGAGGAUAUUCAGUUGGGUCUGACCAGGUCGGACUACAUGGUAGAUGGGGCAACGGACAAGCUUCUUCAAGUAGAGCUCAACACGAUCUCCACAUCCUCCAACGGUCUUGCUUGUGGUGUAUCUGAGCUCCACAGAAAUCUGAUCAGACACCAUGAGAGGGAACUUGGUUUGGAUCCAGCUAGUGUUGUUGGAAACACUGCGAUAACCCAGCAUGCCGAAGCAUUAGCCACUGCAUGGGCCGAGUACAACAACCAAAGCGCAGUAGUUCUGGUCGUUGUUCAAGCAGAAGAAAGGUACAUGUAUGACCAGUACUGGAUCACAGUCGCGCUGAGAGAAAUGUAUGGGGUGACGACUAUUCGCAAGACAAUGGCAGAAAUAGAAGCGGAGGGGGAUCUUCGUCCUGAUGGGACACUCGUGAUAAAUGGACGCCCAGUUGCAGUAGUUUACUUCAGGGCAGGCUACUCACCGGCUGAUUACCCAUCAGAAGCUGAAUGGAGAGCAAGACUCUUGAUCGAGCGUUCUUCUGCUGUUAAGUGCCCAUCAAUAGCACACCAUCUUGUCGGUACAAAGAAGAUUCAGCAAGAACUGGCAAAGGAAAAAGUGCUUGAAAGGUUUCUAGACAACAAAUCCGACAUCGAAAAUGUACGAAAAUGCUUUGCAGGAUUGUGGAGUUUGGAGAAUGACAAUAUAGUCAAUUCCGCUAUUAAAUCACCGGAGUUGUUUGUUCUCAAACCACAGAGGGAGGGUGGAGGGAACAACAUUUACGGUGAUAAUCUGCGUGAAACAUUGAUUCGCCUUCGGAAGGAUGGAAGCAAUGAAAUUGCAGCAUACAUCUUAAUGCAAAGGAUAUUCCCACCAGCAUCCCCCAGCUAUCUUGUCCGCGAGGGAACUUUUGUUAGGGAUAAUGUGGUUUCUGAGUUUGGAAUAUUUGGAGCCUACCUGAGGAACAAAGACAAGGUCAUUAUAAAUGAUCAGUGCGGUUAUUUGUUGAGGACCAAAGCAGCUUCACUAAAUGAAGGUGGGGUGGUUGCUGGAUAUGCGUUUUUGAAUAGCAUAUUUCUGACAUGA
rnacentral:rRNA from 1 species